CUGUCUGGGAAACAUGGCCGCCAGAGCAAAGCUAAGAGCCCAGAGCAGCGGGAGAGAGCACACUCCCCUGGACCAAGCUGUGUCUCCUUAAAGAGUGACCGCUCUAUGGAUUAUCGGCAUAACUUUAGAGAUGGACAUCGGUCUAUUAAGAAGAGAAGAGUCCAGAAGGAGAGAGCAGACUCCCCUGGACCCAGCGGUGUCUCCUUGAAGAGCAACUGGUCUAUGGAUCAUCCUCCUGGACUUAAAGAUGGACGCCCCUCCGGAGAGGAGAGGUAGUAGUUUCCAACAAACUAGUAGUUUUACUGACUGAUAUUUACAAUCAGGACAUUUUUGUAUUAAAAAGAUUGUGUGUGUGUGUGUGUGUGUGUGUGUGUGUGUGUGUGUGUGUGUGUGUGUGUGUG